AGUGCAUUUAAAACAAGAUGAAAACACAACUUAUUCAGUCCCGCUCAGUUCACAUCAGCUAUGCCAGUUCGGUGAAUUAAUCAUGGACAGCUUCCAGACAGUACAUAUACAGCAGCUCUGUGUAGGACAGACAGCAGGAAAAUGGGAAACCAAGAGUGUCAUGAAGUGUAUCGCCUGGGUCGGGAUGUGGGCAUGAUACCCGACCCUCAGAUGGACCGAACGUUCACCGGUUACCUCUUGCCCAACUCGUCCACUCACCUGAGCUCCCACUACAUGGAUGUGCGCAGCUCGCUCUCUCCAGAGCAGCUGGGCGUGUUCAACCACAGCCUGCGGGCCACUCUGGGAGAGAGCGGGAAGGUGACGCAGGGGGGCGUGGGCCUGGUAGCCCUGGCCCUGUCCUUCCUGUUUGACGUCCUGGCCCAGCAGGCCAAGAACCAGACCGGGUCGACCCAUUUCAUCCACCAAAUUUUCAGAGAGCGCGAAGGCGACCACAUCUCCGAGAUUGGGACAGUAAUCAGCGACUACCUGAAACUAGUCCCACUGAUCGCCAACGACCCCCAACGCAUGAAAGAGGAGACCGAACGCUACGAACAAAGACUCAACCACUCACUGGUCGACCAUUUUGUGAGGACAGUCAAGGUACAAAACAGCAGUUGGACAGAUUGGAAGAUAUUCCUCCACGGAGGGUUGUUUUAUCAGCACAUGAUGAUCCAUCGGGUACGAAUGGGAGCAGACAUACCACUGGAACAAUUAGCUCACUGGGAUAGAUAUGCAAAGGACGAUUAUAAAAAUAAAACAAUAUCUUUUGUUGAAAUUACAAAUGUAGCUCAAGAGCUGAUGAGCAUUAGUCCAGAAAAUCAAUUUUUAUUCACCAGGUGCAAUAAUAUAGAACAAAUACUACUGAUAUUCUUUGUCUCUGAACUAGAACAUAAUAAGAUUGAUGAUGUCUUUAAUGCCUUCAAAAAGAAUUCUUCCCUUUUUCUUAGCCAGAAUGACGAUUUUUUUUACUAAGAAAAUGUAGCACAUAGGCUUAUGGAUCACAACUGGAAUAUCACUAGCCAGGUUGAGUAAUGCUUUGGGAAAUUACGCUGACUGCCUGUCCAGCUAAUUAAUCUCACAGCUAAGAUAGCAUAUCUGCAUUCACAGUUUGUAAACCAUGAUCUACGAAGUCAGUCAGGUCCUAUGAUAGAGAAUCUCCACAGUAACCACCUUUCACUUCUCUUGAUCUUUCACUGACUACCAAAUGCCACACGAAUCAAAUUCAACACCGAGAAAUGAAUGAAUUGUUGUAAUCUCCAACUCUUAAAGUCGCUUGAAUUGUUCAACUUAGCACUUCAGUAAUUUCUGAAUAUUUUUACAGUAAUACGCAUGACCUCAUGUGAAUGUACACCUAUUGGUCUAGCAAAAUUUAUGCUUUACAGUUGUUCAGUGUGUUAGUACCUAUUACAAACACAGAGAACAUAAUGUGAUCUCAUGCAUCAUGUCGUGCUGAGUCAGGAAAUAAUUCUGUAGUAGACUGUACUGUCUGUACUAUGUAAAUAAAUGAAAUAUAAUAAAACAUAAUUUAAAUGAA